CGGAGGCCCGGAGCUUGCUCCGGAUCCCUUAGUGGCGAACGGGUGAGUAUCGCGUGGGAAUCUACCUAAAAAUGGGGAAUAACUGUUGGAAACGACAGCUAAUACCGCAUAAUCCCUUCGGGGCAAAGGCUUCGGCCGUUUUUAGAUGAGCCCGCGUUAGAUUAGGCUGUUGGUGAGGUAAUGGCUCACCAAACCUACAAUCUAUAGCUGGUCUGAGAGGAUGAUCAGCCACACUGGGACUGAGACACGGCCCAGACUCCUACGGGAGGCAGCAGUGGGGAAUAUUGGACAAUGGGGGAAACCCUGAUCCAGCAAUGCCGCGUGAGUGAUGAUGGCCCUAGGGUUGUAAAGCUCUUUCAGAAGUGAAGAUGAUGACGGUAACUUCAGAAGAAGCUCCGGCUAACUCCGUGCCAGCAGCCGCGGUAAUACGGAGGGAGCUAGCGUUGUUCGGAAUUACUGGGCGUAAAGGGCGUGUAGGCUGUUUGAUUAGUCAGAGGUGAAAUCCCUAAGCUCAACUUAGGAACUGCCUUUGAUACUAUCAUACUAGAGAUCGAGAGAAGUUAGCGGAAUUCCAAGUGUAGAGGUGAAAUUCGUAGAUAUUUGGAAGAACACCUGUGGCGAAAGCGGCUAACUGGCUCGUUUCUGACGCUGAGACGCGAAAGCGUGGGUA
rnacentral:rRNA from 1 species